GCCCCUGUGGCGGAACCGGUAGACGCGCGCGACUCAAAAUCGCGUUCCGAAAGGAGUGGGGGUUCGAGUCCCUCCAGGGGCA
rnacentral:tRNA from 2 species